CCUACGGGUGACAGCAGUGAGGAAUAUUGGUCAAUGGACGAGAGUCUGAACCAGCCAAGUAGCGUGAAGGAUGACUGCCCUAUGGGUUGUAAACUUCUUUUAUAUGGGAAUAAAAUGUUCCACGUGUGGGAUUUUGUAUGUACCAUAUGAAUAAGGAUCGGCUAACUCCGUGCCAGCAGCCGCGGUAAUACGGAGGAUCCGAGCGUUAUCCGGAUUUAUUGGGUUUAAAGGGAGCGUAGGUGGAUUGUUAAGUCAGUUGUGAAAGUUUGCGGCUCAACCGUAAAAUUGCAGUUGAAACUGGCAGUCUUGAGUACAGUAGAGGUGGGCGGAAUUCGUGGUGUAGCGGUGAAAUGCUUAGAUAUCACGAAGAACUCCGAUUGCGAAGACAGUUCACUGGACUGCAACUGACACUGAGGCUCGAAAGUGUGGGUAUCAAACAGGAUUAGAUACCCUUGUAGUC
rnacentral:rRNA from 1 species